AGUGAACGCUGGCGGUAGGCCUAAUACAUGCAAGUCGAACGGCAGCACAGUAAGAUCUUGCCCUUACGGGUGGCGAGUGACGGACGGGUGAGGAAUACAUCAGCAUCCACUUUUACUUGGGGGACAACGUAGGAAAACUUACACUAAUACCGCAUAUUUCCUACGGCUGAAAGCAAGAGAUAUACGCACCUUUCCUGACUGAUUUAGACGAUGUCGCAUUAGCUAGUUGGCUAGGUAAAGGCCCACCAAGGCAACGAUGCGUAGCUGGUCUGAGAGGAUGAUCAGCCACACUGGAACUGAGACACGGUCCAGACUCCUACGGGAGGCAGCAGUGGGGAAUAUUGCGCAAUGGGCGCAAGCCUGAUCCAGCAAUGCCGCGUGAGUGAUGAAGGCCUUCGGGUUGUAAAGCCCUUUUGUUAGGAAAGAAAAGCUGCAGGUGAAUACGCCGAUGUUCUGACGGUACCCAAAGAGUAAGCACCGGCUAACUUCGUG
rnacentral:rRNA from 1 species